rnacentral:tRNA from 1 species
UGGAUCACCUCCUAACAGGGAGACAACAAAAUGUUUUGAUAUAAAUUUUGUCACCUUAGGUCGAUCGGUAUCUCAGAUUUUCAUUUUUGGAAAUUUCAGUUUCUAAGUUCUUUCUAGGUCACCCAUUUUUUCCUGGGCCAUUAGCUCAGGUGGUUAGAGCGCACCCCUGAUAAGGGUGAGGUCCCUGGUUCAAGUCCAGGAUGGCCCAUAUCUCUAUAUUGGGGGUAUAGCUCAGUUGGUAGAGCGCCUGCUUUGCAAGCAGGAUGUCAGCGGUUCGAGUCCGCUUACCUCCACUGAAUACCACCUAUCCAAAGAGAAGGAAUAUUUGGGAUCGAUUCUAAUCUGAAUGAAUCUAGCUUCCUAUUAUUUAAAUCAAUUAAUAAGAUGCUGGACUCAAUGAAUUUUUUAAUUCUUUGUUUUCAGAGAACCUUGACAACUGCAUAGAUUUUUUUCAAGACAAUAAGCAUCUUUUAAGAUGCAGAUUUAUUAUUGGUGCUUAUGCAUUAAUAACAAUUCUAUUGAGCUGAUGCUUCAAUUUUUUGAAGUUAUUGGUCAAGCUACAAAGGGCUCUCGGAGGAUACCUAGGCACACAGAGGCGAUGAAGG